AGAUGAAUCCCCUGGGGUCUUGUUAAAAUGCAGAUUAUGAUCCUGUAGAUCUAGGUGGGGCUGAGAUUCUGCACUUUUAACAAGCUCCCAGGUGAUGCCAUG
rnacentral:pre_miRNA from 1 species